rnacentral:tRNA from 1 species
AGAAGUUUAGGAUAAAUACAAGUCCAAGAGCCUUCAAAGCCCUAAGUAAACAAGCAAGUUUAACUUCUG